rnacentral:rRNA from 1 species
UGAGGAAUAUUGGUCAAUGGGCUUACGCCUGAACCAGCCAAGUCGCGUGAGGGAAGACUGCCCUAUGGGUUGUAAACCUCUUUUUGUCAGGGAGCAACGCCGGCUACGUGUAGCCGGACUGAGAGUACCUGAAGAAAAAGCAUCGGCUAACUCCGUGCC